GGGACUUUGAAUCAACUGAAAUGGUUGAUACCAGUCUCCCAGACUGAAACAAAGACUGUUUGCAGUGCCAGGAGAACAUCAUCUUCACCAGCUUGGAGGAG